CUCCCCUGCAGGCCUUGCUAAAGAAUGUUAGGAGAGGAGUAGCUGACCCUACUUGAGCUGAGUCAGAAGGGACCCUGGGCCAGACAAUCUGCAGGGGUGGGAUGCAGUGACAUCCCACGGAGACUCAUUUGUGCAUUGGAGAAGGGCUUCCAAGCUCCCUUUCUCGGUCCUGUGGAUGAAAGGAUUUAGGUGGGACAGCCCUCUUCUUGUCCUGCCUCUGCCAUGAACCUCAACCUCUUUUGUGUGACUCUUUGGCUGCUGGGAGCAGGUCCCAUGGAUGCUGAGAUCACCCAGAUGCCAAGAUACAGCAUUAUACAAACAGGAACCAAGAAGACCCUGGAGUGUUCUCAGGAUAUGAACCAUUUUGCAAUGUUCUGGUAUCGACAAGACCCAGGACAGGGGCUGAGGCUGAUCUAUUAUUCAAGUGGCAGCCCAAGCACUACCAAAGGGGAUGUUGCCGAAGGGUACAGCGUCUCCCGAAAGGAGCAGAAGCAUUUCCCCCUGACCCUGGAGUCUGCCAGCACCAACCAGACCUCUGUGUACCUCUGUGCCAGCAGUGAAUCCACAGCAUGGCUCAGCCAGCUGCUCUCUGCACAAAAAACUCAGCUGCAAGCAUGGAGACUCCUUCCUGAGUCCCUGCCUCAGGAUGAGGGAAAAACUGCCCCUACUGAGGCUUUCACCCUACCCCGAUGCUGA